CUGCAUUAUGGAAAAGCAUGGGCCUGCCUAAACUGAAGAAUCACAGACAAGUCAUAUAUUAAGGCAUCCCUAAUACAUGCUCUCUGCAUUUAACCAAAGUACACAUGGCUGAGAAGGAUGAAUUUAAUACUUGAGAACAGAGACAAGCACACAAAAAAAGAUAUUUCAGAGGCAAGGAGGAUACUGUAAAUGAUCUGAGGAGUCUCAGUUUUUUUCUGUGUGACCAACAGUUAAGGAGGACCACAGUAAUCCUCAUCAUAACUAAGAAUGAAGGAAACCUAGAUGCCUGGAAGGAGACCUUCUGAUUUCUUUACUGUCCUUAGACAUAAAAAAUUACCAGAGACCGAAGUACAUGAUGCCAGAAAAUAAUGUAAAAUUCCUGCUAAAAUAAUGGGCUGUCUUCCACUGAAGCAAAAGGGUACUACUGGUUUCAAUGGGACAGGACUGGAUCAAGAUGGAAGUGUGGGAACUGAUGCCAACUGAUUUCUAGUUUGUGUCCCACUUUCAUUCAGACUCA